CAGGCUUAACACAUGCAAGUCGAGGGGCAGCAUGGUCUUAGCUUGCUAAGGCCGAUGGCGACCGGCGCACGGGUGAGUAACGCGUAUCCAACCUGCCUUACACUCUUGGACAGCCUUCUGAAAGGGAGAUUAAUACAAGAUGUUAUCAUGAGUAAGCAUUUUCGCAUGAUUAAAGGUUUACCGGUGUAAGAUGGGGAUGCGUUCCAUUAGAUAGUAGGCGGGGUAACGGCCCACCUAGUCUUCGAUGGAUAGGGGUUCUGAGAGGAAGGUCCCCCACAUUGGAACUGAGACACGGUCCAAACUCCUACGGGAGGCAGCAGUGAGGAAUAUUGGUCAAUGGACGAGAGUCUGAACCAGCCAAGUAGCGUGAAGGAUGAAGGUUCUAUGGAUUGUAAACUUCUUUUAUACGGGAAUAAACGAAUCCACGUGUGGAUUUUUGCAUGUACCGUAUGAAUAAGGAUCGGCUAACUCCGUGCCAGCAGCCGCGGUAAUACGGAGGAUCCGAGCGUUAUCCGGAUUUAUUGGGUUUAAAGGGAGCGUAGAUGGGUUGUUAAGUCAGUUGUGAAAGUUUGCGGCUCAACCGUAAAAUUGCAAUUGAUACUGGCAGUCUUGAGUACAGUUGAGGUAGGCGGAAUUCGUGGUGUAGCGGUGAAAUGCUUAGAUAUCACGAAGAACUCCGAUUGCGAAGGCAGCUUACUAACCUGUAACUGACAUUGAUGCUCGAAAGUGUGGGUAUCAAACAGGAUUAGAUACCCUGGUAGUCCACACGGUAAACGAUGAAUACUCGCUGUAGGCGAUAUACAGUCUGCGGCCAAGCGAAAGCAUUAAGUAUUCCACCUGGGGAGUACGCCGGCAACGGUGAAACUCAAAGGAAUUGACGGGGGCCCGCACAAGCGGAGGAACAUGUGGUUUAAUUCGAUGAUACGCGAGGAACCUUACCCGGGCUUAAAUUGCAACCGAAUAUGGCGGAAACGCUAUAGCUAGCAAUAGCGGUUGUGAAGGUGCUGCAUGGUUGUCGUCAGCUCGUGCCGUGAGGUGUCGGCUUAAGUGCCAUAACGAGCGCAGCCCUUGCCGAUAGUUACUAACAGGUCAUGCUGAGGACUCUGUCGGGACUGCCAUCGUAAGAUGUGAGGAAGGUGGGGAUGACGUCAAAUCAGCACGGCCCUUACGUCCGGGGCUACACACGUGUUACAAUGGGGGGUACAGAGGGCUGCUACCACGCAAGUGGAUGCCAAUCCCAAAAACCUCUCUCAGUUCGGAUUGAAGUCUGCAACCCGACUUCAUGAAGCUGGAUUCGCUAGUAAUCGCGCAUCAGCCACGGCGCGGUGAAUACGUUCCCGGGCCUUGUACACACCGCCCGUCAAGCCAUGGGAGCCGGGGGUACCUGAAGUGCGUAACCGCAAGGAGCGCCCUAGGGUAAAACUGGUGACUGG
rnacentral:rRNA from 1 species